GAGAGUGUAUAAAAGUGAGGUUAGGUUGUCUUGUUUUUGGCCACUUUUUUUUGUACUGGAUUACAUAAUUCCUCCAAAAAUAUGAUCCUGUCUAGAGCAGUCAGAAAUAGUGUGCCGACUGUGAAAUAUGCCCGAAAAAUGGCAUCAAAGCCUGCUACUGUGGUCACUCAGGAAGUUGGCAAUGCAGGAAUCAUCAUUCUGGAUCGCCAGAAGGCUCUGAAUGCCAUCAAUCUGGAGAUGGUUAGGCAAAUCUACCCAGUUCUUAAAAAAUUUGAGGAAACAAAGCAACUAGUGAUCAUCAAAGGAGCCGGGGAGAAGGCUUUCUGUGCCGGGGGAGAUGUCCGGGCAAUAACUGAGGGUCCAUUGGAGGAAGCUAAGCACUUCUUCCAUACAGAAUACAUGGUAAAUGCUACGAUAAAAGCCCUCAAAAAGCCCUACGUGGCUCUGAUCGAUGGGAUCACAAUGGGAGGAGGAGUCGGGCUUUCUGUUCACGGGAAGUAUCGUGUGGCCACAGAAAGAACCCUCUUCGCAAUGCCAGAGACCGCUAUUGGCCUCUUUCCUGACGUCGGAGGCGGAUACUUUCUCCCACGAUUGUCCGGGAAGCUGGGAAUGUUCCUGGGACUCACGGGAUUCCGCCUCAAAGGCCGAGACGUAGAGAAAAGUGGUGUGGCCACUCACUACUGUGAGUCUUCCAAGGUUCCGGAACUUGAGGAAGCUCUCUGCAAAUGCUCCUCUGACCAGGAAGUAGCAGACACUCUGGCUAAAUUCUGCCCCAAGGACUCCUCGGAGUUCGUCCUGGCCAAGCACAUGGGGAAGAUUAAUGAGUGUUUCAGUGGAGCGACUGUGGAAGAGAUUCUGGAGAGACUCAGGAAGGACAAUUCCGAAUGGGCUCAGGGAGUCCUCAAGGGAUUGGCCAAGAUGUCUCCGUUGAGCAUGAAAGUGACCAAGAAGCAGCUGGAUCUGGGCGCCAAUAUGACCUUGCCUGAAGAUCUCGUGAUGGAAUACCGGAUGGCUGUUCGUCAUGCCCAAGACAGCGACCUCAAAGAAGGUGUUCGUGCCUUAUUGGUGGACAAAGACAAUCAACCGAAGUGGAAUCCAACAACCCUGGAAGAAGUCACUGAAGAACGCGUUGAUUCCUUCUUCAAGCCACUUCCAGACGACUUGAAAUUGUAAUUCCGCGUCUCCGGGAUUCAUUUUCAUCCAUUCGCAAAAAAAAAUCCAAUUGGCGAGCCCAUCGGACAUCCUUAAGGCCAAACUGUGACACGAGGAAGCGUGAAGGAGAACUAAAAGUGCAUUUAUUUUGUUAAAUAAAAAUCUUGUUAUUCCGACUUUAUAAA